UCCUGGCUGGCCUCGAGCAGCAGCUCCUCCAGAUCCCGCUCGUCCCGGCAGCAGCUCAGCUCUGAAACAACAGCGACCAUUUGGGAUCACCGGGAUCCACCCGCGUCCCCUUGGGGACAUUCGGGAUCCGGUCCCACGUGUGACCCCUUUGGGGACAUUCAAGAUCCUCUCCCAUCCAUGUCCCUGUGGGAACAUUUGGGAUCUGGUCCCAUCUCCGUUCCACUGGGAAUGUUUGGGAUCCGGUCCCAUCCUUGCCCCAUUUGGGAUCCGGUCCCAUCCUUCCCCCUUUGGGAUCCGGUCCCAUCCGUGCACCAUUUGGGAUCCGGUCCCAUCCUUCCCCCUUUGGGAUCUGGUCCCAUCCUUCCCCCUUUGGGAUCUGGUCCCAUCCGUGCCCCAUUUGGGAUCUGGUCCCAUCCUUGCUCCUUUGGGAUCUGGUCCCAUCCUUGCCCCAUUUGGGAUCCGGUCCCAUCCUUCCCCCAUUUGGGAUCCGGUCCCAUCCUUCCCCCUUUGGGAUCCGGUCCCAUCCGUGCCCCAUUUGGGAUCUGGUCCCAUCCUUGCUCCUUUGGGAUCUGGUCCCAUCCUUGCCCCCACUUGGGAUCCGGUCCCAUCCUUGCCCCCACUUGGGAUCCGGUCCCAUCCGUGCCCCCUUUGGGAUCCAGUCCCAUCCUUGCCCCCAUUUGGGAUCCGGUCCCACUGGUGACCCCUCAGGGACAUAUGGGACCAGUCCCACCUCUGCCCCCACGGGGACAUUUAGGAUCCAGCCCUACCCCUGUCCCCUCGGUCCCCCACCCCGUACCGUGCUCAGCGCCGCAGCUCCCCGCUUUGCCGUCACCGUCGGGCAGCACCCGGCCCAGCUCCGCCUUCAGCCCGUUGGGCAGCGCCGGGCCACCAGCGCCCAUCCUGGUGGUGGCCGUCCCGGUGCUGGUGGCCAUCCCAUCGGCGGCCAUUCCACCGGUGGCCGUCCCACUGGUGCUGACCAUCCCGCUGGUGACUGUCCCAGGGUUGGUGGCCGUCCCAAUGGUGGUGGUUGUCCCAGUGGUGGCCAUGCCACUGGUGGCUGUCCCAGGGUUGGUGGCCAUCCCAUCGGUGGCCGUCCCAAUGGUGGUGGUUGUCCCAGUGGUGGCCAUUCCACCGGUGGCCGUCCCAGUGGCGACUGUCCCAGGGUUGGUGGCCGUCCCAUUGGUGGCCAUCCCAAUGGUGGCCAUCCCAUUGGUGGCCAUCCCAGUGGUGGCUGUCCCAUUGGUGGCUGUCCCAGGGUUGGUGGCCAUCCCAGUGGUGGUGCUUGUCCCGCUGGUGGCCAUCCCACUGGGGGCCUCCCUGGUGGCGGUGGCUGUCCCCUCGGUGGCUGUCCCAUUGGUGGCCAUCACCCCAAUGGUGACAGUCCCACUGGUGGCCAUCCCGGGGGUGGUGGCCAUCCCGCUGGUGGCAGCUGUCCCAUUGGUGGCCGUCCCACUGAUGGCGACUGUCCCAUCAGCGGCCAUCCCAGUGGUGGUGGCGGUGGUGGUGGUGGUCCCACUGGUGGCCAUCGUCCCAGUGGUGACAGUCCCACUGGUGGCUGUGUCACUGGUGGUGACCACGCCGGUGGUGGUGGCCGUCCCAUCAGUGGCCGUCCCAGCGGCGGUGGCCGUCCCCGUGGCAGUGCCCGUCCCAUUGGUGGAGGUGGUCCCCGUGGUGGUGGCUGACCCCUUGGUGGCCGUCCCGGUGACGAUGCCCAUCCCAUUGGUGGAGGAGGUCCCGGCGGCGCCAUCCGUCCCAGCGCUGUCCGUCCUGGCGCUGUCCGUCCCGGCGCUGUCCGUCCCCUCGGCCCCAGCUGACACCGGCGUCUCACCGGGGACGCCCUCCGCUCCGCUCUCCACGCGCGUCACCACAAAGACCUUGUGUCCCCUCCCGGGGCUGGUGACCAGGAUGCGGCGCUGCUGACCUCGGGGGGACGCGGGGUUCUCCGUGCCACCACCACCGUCCCCCUCCGUGCCCGCGGCGUCGCCGUCCCCUCGUCCCCCGGCUCCCCCCGAGCCCUCGUCCUCCGUGUCCGAGCUGGAAUCGGCUCCGGCGCCGCUCUCCGCCUCAUCCCCGCCGC
ensembl:lncRNA